ensembl:lncRNA
UGGGGCUGGAGCUCUGUCAGGACUCACUGAGCAGAUGCAGGACUUCAGCUCUCUGCUUGAGCAACAGUGUGAGAAAAAUACUUGGUGAGCCUGAACAUGAAUCUGAUGUAAUCCCAGCGUUCCCGCAGGAGGCCGGCUCUUGUUGGGAAAGCAGCCGUCUGGUUCUCAUUAACGGCUCCGAGCUUCACACGGACUUCCACAAAAUUUGAUUACACUGAAAAGACGUCACUGAUGUCUUCAUGUGGCUCUCAGCACAGUCACUGUUCACUAUGUGAGGAUGAUGAAUCAUGACACUGUCACAGGAAGCUGAUGCUCAGGUUCUCGGCUUGAACGAGUGUUUGAUGAGUCAGGGUUUGCUCGGCAUCACGGACUUUCAGGCUGAAGGCUUAAAGUCAACACAGACACAAUCCUGUGAAUAAAGAAGUCUGUGUGACUGUACGAGCGCUCGGAGCUCAAACAGAAGAGGAAACUGGAUGAUUAAACACCCGCCUAUGUUACUCUCACAUCCUCCCUCUGACCUGUCAGUACUUUAGCUCCGCCCUGCAGUACUGUGCAAAAGUCUCGCGCCACUCCUCAUUUUUUAAAAAGGAGCCGGACAGAGCUCUUCAUCAGCAGUUGGCUCCUUGUACCGACCAUUUUCACAGCAUCUCUUUUUUUAAUUAAGCCAUUAACUCUGACCUGAGAGUCAAGCAAAGAAAGGGGGUCAGUGUGGCUGUAGCACAGGAGGCAGAGCAGGUAUCUGCCACUCAGAAGCACGCAGGCUUUCAUCAGGGAGGAAACAGUCCAUGGACACACUGAAGCUUUUCUAGCACCAGCAGCAAACCUCCACCAGUCAAGCACCGCCAACAGUGACCACCAUCAAUAACCCGGACAGACACAAAGGCCCAAAAAGAGGAUCAAGACACACUUGCUAGACUCAGUCCAAGUCAGAUAAAGACCUGCAGCAGCAUCAGUCACGCAGAAACACAGUUUAAUCUAAGUCCUCAUGUAAGAUGUUCAGAGGCCUGUCAUUUAUAAAUCCCUGAAGCUUUCCUUUGGUUAGAGGAAGAGGAUGUCUGCAGUGUGGAAGGGUUACUGUGAAAGUGCAGGUAGAGCUUAGCUGUGGGGUACUUAAUGCUUCCUGUGCAUAUGGCAUAUUUGUGUUCUGCUCACUGAUCCUACAGCCGUCUUUUUGUGCAGCUGGGACUCUCCAACCUCUAGGAAGGGAACAGGAACUGAAAUAAGCACGGGUUAUGACCAAGAUCUGCAGAAGAGGAGCCUCGGAUGGCCCGUUUCAGUGUUCAGGCUGCUGCUGCUGAUUUGAGCUUCUUCUGAAGCUCGAAUUAAAGAUGACGGUGAGUUCACUGGACUCAGACGGCCUCCACAGCCACAGAUUUCAGUCCUGCAGAGCCGUUUUGGGAUGUGGAGGAACGGGAGAUGCAUCAAGGAUGCACCAGCUGUGUGAUGAUGUCGUGAUGAUGUCAUGUCAACAUGGACCAAAAUCUGUGAGGAACAUCUGAGCCAUGAAGAAUGAAAACAGCUCUGAGCUUCAACCUGAUACUAGCAAGGUGUACCUAAUAAAGUGACCAGCGUUUUACUGUAGGGUCUUGUAUUAAGCACCUUGAGACAGCAGUUAAUGCUAAAUAAAUCAAACUGAAGUGAGACUGGAGUGCUGCAGUACUCUCGUGGCACGUAGACCCCACAGUGUACGAUACACUCUGUGUUUGUUUGACGCUGUGGGCGUCAGGCCCAAAAUCUCUGCUGGAAAAUAAACCAAAGAACACAGAGUGCUGAGGGUCACAGAAAUAACAUAAAUGACAUGCACUCAUGAAGUUAUGACAAAUAUUUGUAAAUCAUUUAUAAAUACAGCUGACAGUUUCCUGAUAAACGUUCACAAUAACUGCAGCAGCUGGUCCCGCAGUCAGCGUGUUAGUCUCUCCCUCGGUGAAUGCUGCCCUGCUCGGAUGAUCGUUUCCAAAAUGUGAGACUGAAAACUAGAGAGUGAGCCCAUGAAGCCAUCAGGAGCUGAGUUUAUUGUUUACGAUGGGACCGCUGGAUAACAGAGCCGCAUGUUUAUUUGAAUGUGCAGGUGAGACUGCAGGAGAUACAGUUCUCUGCUGUUCUCAGAGGACGACACGCUCACUGAAGGGAAACACAGUCAGUGCAGCAGCUCUCCUCAGCACGCAGAGGUUAAAAGCAGAGAUUUCCAAAUCACAUUCCCACUUCCAGGAAGUGUGAAUGCUGUGACACGUUAAACACUUCAGUUGAAUGGAAAUAUUCCAGAAAAGUCUCUCGUGUCUCUCUGCAUGCGGUGAGAUUAUUUUAGGACGCUGAGAGGAGCGUGUUGUGUGCUGCAGAACAUUCAGUGCUGGCUGAAAAGCCUUCAGAUUGCUGAUGGAUGCUUUGGACGAGGUUCAGAAACAGCCGAGUUCAACGAGCCAAAGACACCAGGACGGCGACCCUCGCCGAUCCUCUCGCCUGCUG